GUCCAUUCGUCAUUAAAGCUGGGCUGGUCCACGUCAACAUUUCUCUUCAGCCUCUUUGACAGUCACAAUUUUACCUGACAACAGUCCUUUCUUUCUGCAAGCAUUUUCCACCAAUCAGGACGCUUCAUACUACAACCAUGUCUCAGGAAUCACAGAAUUUAACCAUCACUCCUCAGUGAACAGCCUCCUAGUCUGAGGUUUUUUUCUAGUUAAAGAGCCAGUUAUCAUUAUGGAGUUUCUAUGUUUUUUAGGAGUUUGCUCACACUAAUCCAUGAAAAAUAAAA